rnacentral:rRNA from 1 species
UACGAAGGGUGCGAGCGUUAUUCGGAAUUAUUGGGCGUAAAGGGUGUGUAGGUGGUAAUCUAAGUCAGUUGUUAAAUACUCCGGCCUAACCGGAGACAUGCGGCAGAUACUGGUUUACUAGAGGGAGAAAGAGAGAAGUGGAAUUCUCGGAGUAGCGGUAAAAUGCGUGGAUCUCGAGAGGAACACCAAUGGCGAAGGCAGCUUCUUGGUUCUUUCCUGACACUGAAACACGAAAGCGUGGGGAGCAAACAGG